GACCCUGUUGAGCUUUACGUGUAAGUUUAAUUAUUAAUUAAAAAUAUCAUGUUUAGUUGGGGCAACAGAAGAACAUAACUACCUUCUUUUUAGGUAAAUAAAUUUAUAGAUUUAUUGAUCCACUAAAUUGUGAUCAAAAGAAAAGUUACCACAGGGAUAACAGCGUAAUCUUUUUAGAGAGCUCCUAUUGAAAAAAAGGUUUACGACCUCGAUGUUGGAUUAAGAGUGCUAUUAGGUGUAGAAGCUGAUAUAAGCUGGUCUGUUCGACC
rnacentral:rRNA from 1 species